rnacentral:rRNA from 1 species
AGUGAACGCUGGCGGCAGGCCUAACACAUGCAAGUCGAACGGCAGCACGGCAGUAGCAAUACUGUGGGUGGCGAGUGGCGGACGGGUGAGGAAUACAUCGGGAUCUACCCUGUUGUGGGGGAUAACGUAGGGAAACUUACGCUAAUACCGCAUAAGAACUGAGGUUGAAAGCGGCGGACCGCAAGGCGUCGCGCGAUUGGAUGAACCGAUGUCCGAUUAGCUAGUUGCGGGUAAAGGCCCACCAAGGCGACGAUCGGUAGCUGGUCUGAGAGGACGACCAGCCACACUGGAACUGAGACACGGUCCAGACUCCUACGGGAGGCAGCAGUGGGGAAUAUUGGACAAUGGGCGCAAGCCUGAUCCAGCCAUGCCGCGUGGGUGAAGAAGGCCUCGGUUGUAAGACC